rnacentral:rRNA from 1 species
UACGGAGGGUGCAAGCGUUGCUCGGAAUUAUUGGGCGUAAAGGGUAGGUAGGUGGUCUUAUUUGUCUGGGGUGAAAGCCUUGAGCUUAACUCAAGAAGUGCCCUAGAAACGGUAAGACUCGAGUCUUGGAGAGGGUUGUGGAAUUCCCGGUGUAGCGGUGAAAUGCGUAGAGAUCGGGAGGAACACCAGAGGCGAAAGCGGCUCACUGGACCACAACUGACGCUGAGGCGCGAAAGCUAGGGGAGCAAACAGG